AGCGAAUCAUUAGGAGCUUGCUCCUGAUGGUUAGCGGCGGACGGGUGAGUAACACGUGGGCAACCUGCCUGUAAGACUGGGAUAACUUCGGGAAACCGGAGCUAAUACCGGAUAAUCCUUUUCCUCACAUGAGGGGAAGCUGAAAGAUGGCGCAAGCUAUCACUUACAGAUGGGCCCGCGGCGCAUUAGCUAGUUGGUGAGGUAAUGGCUCACCAAGGCGACGAUGCGUAGCCGACCUGAGAGGGUGAUCGGCCACACUGGGACUGAGACACGGCCCAGACUCCUACGGGAGGCAGCAGUAGGGAAUCUUCCGCAAUGGACGAAAGUCUGACGGAGCAACGCCGCGUGAGCGAUGAAGGCCUUCGGGUCGUAAAGCUCUGUUGUUAGGGAAGAACAAGUAUCGGAGUAACUGCCGGUACCAUGACGGUACCUAACCAGAAAGCCACGGCUAACUACGUGCCAGCAGCCGCGGUAAUACGUAGGUGGCAAGCGUUGUCCGGAAUUAUUGGGCGUAAAGCGCGCGCAGGCGGUUCCUUAAGUCUGAUGUGAAAGCCCCCGGCUCAACCGGGGAGGGUCAUUGGAAACUGGGGAACUUGAGUACAGAAGAGGAAAGCGGAAUUCCACGUGUAGCGGUGAAAUGCGUAGAGAUGUGGAGGAACACCAGUGGCGAAGGCGGCUUUCUGGUCUGUAACUGACGCUGAGGCGUGAAAGCGUGGGGAGCAAACAGGAUUAGAUACCCUGGUAGUCCACGCCGUAAACGAUGAGUGCUAAGUGUUAGAGGGUUUCCGCCCUUUAGUGCUG
rnacentral:rRNA from 1 species